UGGGUUUAAAGGGAGCGUAGGCGGAUUAUUAAGUCAGUGGUGAAAGACGGUGGCUCAACCAUCGUUAGCCAUUGAAACUGGUAGUCUUGAGUGCAGACAGGGAUGCUGGAACUCGUGGUGUAGCGGUGAAAUGCUUAGAUAUCACGAUGAACUCCGAUCGCGAAGGCAGGUGUCCGGGCUGCAACUGACGCUGAGGCUCGAAAGUGUGGGUAUCAAACAGGAUUAGAUACCCUGGUAGUCCACACAGUAAACGAUGUAUACUCGCGGUUUGCGAUACAAUGUAAGCCGCCAAGCGAAAGCAUUAAGUAUACCACCUGGGGAGUACGCCGGCAACGGUGAAACUCAAAGGAAUUGACGGGGGCCCGCACAAGCGGAGGAACAUGUGGUUUAAUUCGAUGAUACGCGAGGAACCUUACCCGGGCUUGAACUAAGAGUGACGAAUCUAGAGAUAGAUUUUUCUUCGGACACUCUUGGAGGUGCUGCAUGGUUGUCGUCAGCUCGUGUCGUGAGAAG
rnacentral:rRNA from 1 species